rnacentral:rRNA from 1 species
UGAGGAAUUUUGCGCAAUGGGGGGAACCCUGACGCAGCAACGCCGCGUGGGUGAUGAAGGCCUUCGGGUCGUAAAGCCCUGUCGGGCGGGAAGAAUGUCCCUUCGGGGAAUGACGGUACCGCCAGAGGAAGCACCGGCUACCUCCGUGCCAGCAGCCGCGGUAAUACGGAGGGUGAAAGCGUUAUUCGGAAUUACUGGGCGUAAAGGGCGUGCAGGCGGGAGAGCAAGUCUGAUGUGAAAGCCCGGGGCUUAAACCCGGAAGGGCAUUGGAAACUGCUUUUCUUGAGGUCUGGAGAGGAAGGGAGAAUUCCCGGUGUAGAGGUGAAAGUCGUAGAGAUCGGGAGGAACAUCAGUGGCGAAGGCGCCCUUCUGGACAGCAACUGACGCUGAGACGCGAAAGCGUGGGGAGCAAACA